UUCCUUGAUAGGUAAGUUUGAUUAAUGGAAAACUUUUGACUUUAUAAUUUGAAAUAACAUCAAUUUAGAUUGGUACAUGAUUUCUGAUAGCAUUAAAUAAACCUUGUCUAUAACCAGGCCAGCAUAAGAUAGGAGGACAUAGGAGCCUUCCUAAUCCUAAUCAUGGAAAAUGCCCCUUUAUUCCAAAAGGCCCCCCCUUGGGUGGCUAUCUUAGCCGCCUAUCUUAGUGAUAAUGUAUUAAACGGAGAUUGACUGAUGAGGCGGUUCUAUGGAUGAAGCCAACAAUAUUGGCCGACCAAUAAAUACUUGAACACAUUCACCACAUUAAUUAUAUGUUGAAAAUAGAGGGUGGCAGCAUCUUAGUCACCAUAGCCAUAGGCCUCUCACACAAACCCCUUUAGGACGGUGGCCAACCUUUUACCUCCACUCACUUCAUAUUUGUUCAAACUGAUCAUGCAAUGUCAUACACAUUACUCUCUGGGUAUCUAAAACUAUGGUUUUUCACCUUUCCAAGCAGCUUUACUUAUUUAUUGACUGGUUCCAAAUAUUUCAUGUUAACCUCAAUCGGCAAACCUGCCAGAAACAUAAAGAGUAACAAAUCAACAAGCCAUAAGAAAAAUGUGAUCUUUUUUGUAUAGCAGAGACGAUGCCUUUGAGCAGAUAAAGAGAAGUAAGAGUUUUCUGAGUUUCAGAUUGAAGCUGAACCAGUAAAGCACACUUUUCGAGUUUAUGUUGUCAUCUUGAAAAUGCAUAAUAUCCAGAAUAUUACUUCGAAUGGCAUUAAUGCUUAGACCAAACUUUGGAAUUAGACUUUGUUAAACCCUUCUAAUAUAUGAACUUGUAAUGGUCAAAGUAAGAAUUUAAUGCAAUGGGUUGCAUUUAAAAAUAGAUAUAUCUAGAGAGAGUGGCAGCUGAAUGAAGAUAAAGGACGAUCCAACCAAGGUUGCAAACAGUACACAAGUGUUCCGUGCAAAAGUUAAAUGCAACAGGCAACGUUCUAGAAAUGUCUUCCACCCUCAACUAGAUGACUACUACUUAUGAAGUAAAUAAGCUAAACUUUGCAACUACUCCAUAAUUCCCUAUGAUCCUACGUAAGCUACUUGUUAAGAAUUGUGAGAAUAAAUUAGAAACUUGAGAAAAAAGCAACUAAAAACACAUCAUUUGCAUUCAUGAAGUCAUACCAUAUUUUCUAUUAAAUUAAUGAAACCAACUAAACUGAAAAUUCCAGGGAAAAAAAAAUCAUAUUUUCCCAAAAGAGUGAAAUACCUUGAGACCAAGUAAUCUAAUAGGUGUAAUCAGGGCUGGCGCAAUGCGUUCGGGUCCUGCCGCUUCCACAAUGGCCUCUAUGGAUUUUAGGAAUUGUUUUUCCAGCUGAGGUUCUCCAUGGACCUUUCUUCAACAUGCCUUCCUCUGUUAACAAAACUUUGGGUUUUGGGUUAUAAUCAUGAAGACAAGAUCUAGCAAACCAAAUGACUGUUUUGAAAAUAGAGAAGCUACGGAAAAUGUGAACAGCUUUUUCUCCACCUUUUUAAGCUGACGCUUUUCGAAGCUGUUUUUCUUUGGUGGAUAUGAUUAUAUUUUUGUUUUUCCUUUUAUUUUAGAUCUCCCACUAUUCCUUUCACUAGAC
rnacentral:lncRNA from 1 species